rnacentral:lncRNA from 1 species
CCAAAGCAUUAAUUGGUGUUCUAUAAGCGACUUCAAACAAACAUACAAAAUUCCAAAAAUAUACUUUAAACCAACCUUAAGGUAUGGUGGUUUGACAUUAUCAGCUCAAAAAACGUAAUUUUGGGAAAUGGCUACAUUUUGAAUAGCACAACGUUAAGGCUUCUAUUGACACUCAGGAGGACUUUCUAUCAAAAUGUUGAGAUUAAAUGAUUCAAACCGACAUUCAUAUAUGGUCAUAUUUUGUUUUUGAUUUUACCAAAGGAUUUUACCAUCCUCUCAGGUCGAAGCAAGGAGGGUGCCAUGUUUCAUCGGUAAAGUCUAUAAAAAGGUCUAUGAAAACACGAAAAUGAAAUGUUUUCCAAAGGAUCCGCUGAGAGACAUAAGUUUUUUCCUCCGGUUUCAGGGUAUGGAACUGAGAAAUUCUUAAGGAAUGGAUUUUUGGACGCUCGUGACAAGUUAUGUGUGCAGUGUGACUUCCUUAGUUUCAACUCCAAAUGGAUGUCAUGUUCAACCUCCAUCUGCAAUCAAACAUGUUGAUAACCAGGUGCAGAUCGUUCCGUUCGUGCAAGAGACGAGCUCCUACCUCCCGCUGGCCAUUCAAAUCUGCUCGAAUGUGGUCGAUCAGACCCUCAACUCGCAAAUGAAACAGAUAGUCUACGACUCGUUCGUAUCGAAAGAGCUGAGCUCCGCGCCACCAACUACCCUUGUCGACGACGCGCGAGCAGAACCGGACACAGGAGCACCCGCCACCGUUUCCACUCAUUCCAAAACGAAUAGUUCCGUCGCAGCGCCCGGUUCCCCACAGCCGAGGUCCCUCUCGACCCCAGUUGAAAAGGAAGCCGCGCAGGCGAGGCUUGUUUCAGACGAUACUGAAGCUCCGCAGUUCCAAGUUGAGACCGAGACCUCACAAACGGCUUCUUGUUCGGAUCUGGUGGAAACGGAACCCCGCAGGUGAGAGCCUUUUCCGAUUCCGACGGAACAGAGACUCCCCAAGCGAGACCCUUCUCGACUCCGGUCGAAUCCGAUACGCCGCAACCGAGACCUCUUUCGACUCCAGUCGAAACCAAAGCCCCGCAGUCGAGACCCUUUCCGAUCCCAGUCGAAUCCGAUACACUGCAACCGAGACCUCUCUCGACUCCAGUCGAGACCAAAGCCCGCAGUCGAGACCCUUUCCGAUCCCAGUCGAAUCCAAUACGCCGCAACCGAGACCUCUCUCGACUCCAGUCGAAACCAAGGCCUCGCAGCUGAGGAACAUUCCAACUUCAGUCGAAGCAAAAUCCCCGCAGCCGAGACCAUUUUCUCCAGCAGUCACGGUGGAGACACUACAGCGGAGACCAGUCGGGACCGGGAGCUUGCAGUCCGGGACCUCCUCAACCUCGGUCGAAAGCGAGGCCUCUACGGAGUCGGGAAACUUCGAGCUGCUGCGGGCCAAGUACGAGUCCCAGUUGAAACGGAUCAUGGUAUCGGAGCUGUUCGACGCGGAGAGAGCGCCAGUGGAGGAGGGACUGCUUUUCAAGAGCGACUCGGGAGCGGGGGUCGUGUCCAACGAGCUGGACUCUCUGCCGGGUUCGAAGAAGGACCCCAACUACUGGCAGCCGGAUGUCGAUAGGCUUUUAGAUUCCAUCAAAGUCGCCGAGAUGUUCCGGCAAAUCUCGCCGGAGCUGCUGUGGCUCGGGGAGUUGAGGGAUCAUCUCAUAAGUGAAGCCAUCCACAAAAGACUCAGGAACACCUCCGGAUUAUCGAGCGAUGUGAUUCAGUUUUUGUACCAAAUCGAUAACGUCAACGCCAGGGAUCAAACUUUAAUUAUCCUCAGGAAAAUCAUUCAGACCGGAGAUAUCACCGAGCAGAAAACUGUGGAACUCGCCCAGAGGAUACUCGGCCUCCUCGACUCCCCGCGCAGUAGAUUGUCGCAAAUAAUCGCACGCUGCACCUCCAUCCGUUACUCAUAGGAUUCCUUUAGUGAAAAUUAGGACUUUUGUAAUUUUUAAAGAAAUGAAAUAUUGGUUAAAAAUGUGUUUGCAGGUUUCUUCUUAAUGAAGGUAGAUCUUUUAGAGAUCUUUCAAUAAAAAACAAUUCAAUGAUCCUUUCAGAAGUUGUAGACGGUUGAAAGUUUUUGAACGCCCCCCCCCCCCCCGCCCCCCGCUCCCCCAUGGGAGGCCUACGCCAAAGAUUCCUCUAGAUUUGAACACUUCAUAUGCACAUGUCAGAGAUCACCCACUGUAUGCUUUGACUGAGCUAUCAACAAACCUAUCUCCCCCAGCAUGAAAGCCUUCCGACUCUUACUCCUAUUAUUGAACCAAUUUAGCCGACAUCAGCCCAAAUACAUCAGAUCAAAAGUUUCCUUAUUUUCACGUAUUUUGCUUUUAACAGAAAACUAAGCAACACUGAACCUAUAAAUUUUGUGAGUGUGUUCUUCAUGAUGUAGAGUCAAUCCUUGAGAAGUUAAUGUGGUGGCGUUAAACAGUUGAUUUAUCGGGCGGGGAUUGAAGGAGAGGAAGAUUGAAUAAAGGAUUCGCUCUAUCUCAAGUGCUACCAUUUGUGCAAUGCAAAGACCGCCAAAGAUGUUUUUACGCAUUUUUCUACUUUUCAUACUUAACGUUUAAGUCUCCAAACACAUCCGUUCCUCCUUUGCCACAUGCCGCGGUGAGGGCGUAUUUCCUCGUGAGCAAAAAACAUGGAUUUACAUGUCAAACAGGACUCAUGUGGAAACUGGGAUCCGGCCUCACGACAGAGGGCCGAGGGGCGACGAUAUACACGUUCGAAAAAGCAUUAGUGCUGAACGAUUAUACUGAUACUUGUUUACCCAUGACAAUAUACGUUGCGCAUAGUUGCAUACUCCUUAAUAUACGAAUGUUGUUACCAAAAUGUUUUUAACUUCUAAAAAAAAAGCAUACGCCUGAAAAUUAGGCGAGCGUGAAGCUGCCUUUUAAUUUAGCAUCCUACUUUUAGCACUCAAUUUCACUCAUUUUGAUUCAAUUUGACUUCAGUAUGCUUGGAAAAGGAGAGUCUGGCAAUUCAUACAUUUUUAAGGGGCAAUGAAUGAUGAACUGUCAUUAAACUCUUUAAGGUCCUGCAUAAACAAUUGUUCCUGGUGCUUGAAAGGCUUUAGGAAAUGAAUGCUAACCCUCUCACAAAGAAUACUUCGGGCGCGUCUUUACGAACCCUCCCUUUGGCAUUUCUUCGAUCAAUCAUUGGUCAACUAUAAUUAGUUCUGAAUUUGGAUUUUUUUUUUCAAAUAGAAAAAUUACUUCCUUUAUCAGAUAUUUUAUGAGCAUCUGUUUAAAUCUACCUGAGAGGGGAUUCGAUGAUUGUGAGAAGUCACCGUAAAAUAUAUUUGACUCUUAAUGAUGGUUCAUUUUCAAAUUUUUCGCUUAAAACUACAUCAAAUUCGGGUAGGAAGUGGGCGGGAAACGGGUCGAGAAUCACUGGUCCAUGAGAAAUACACGGGAAGAAGACGUCAACUUCAAAUGAAGAUUUCUCGCUUGAAACGCAAAAUGCUCUGGGUGGUUCACAUUUUUUUAUUCCUCAGAUAUUCAACUCCAAUUCUACCUGAGAGGUCUUGCGACUUUUUGCGACUAUCAGAGAAAUUUGAAGUUAAAGUUUGGGUGUUAUACGUUGCUUUUACAUUAUUAACUUAGGGCUAAUUCGAGGUUGCCAACUUCAAAUGAGCUUUUCUCGAAAAAUACGUAAAAAAUCCUGAGAUGUGACACUUUUCAGGAAAACUGUUUAGUUUUCUUUAAAAAACAUGAUAGAAGUUGCAAUCAGAUAUAUACACUUUUUUCGCGUGCCCGCACAGGCGUCGACAUUUGAAUUCAUCCAUGGCAGGCGUAACACGGGUGUAGGCAUAUUUGCCACUAGCUGAAUUGAAGGCGCGUCAAACUGCGAAGAUGACUCCUUUCAACCGCAUUCCAUCCCCUGGCCCUGACUCGCGCGACGCUGCAGUCGCCACAAACUAGGACUACACGUCAUCAUUCUUGACUCUUUGCCCGGUUUUUACGAUAAUUAAAGGGAAAAUAUUACGACAAUUUGGAAACGUGGACGAUGUUAAAUUUUUUUCCUGAUUUAAAGUAAAUGGAUUCAACGAACGAAAAUAUCGCGUCUAAUUAUCUUUUUUUUUACACGAAAUCAUAUAGGAAAAUUCACAGAAACUCUCUAGAAAAACCAAACCGUGUGUAGCUUUUUUAAACCAUAGAUUAAAAAACGCUUUCUUUCGCAUGCACCCGUCGGUUUAUUUGAAUCUAUUCAUCUGAAUCUGAAUGGGGUAAUGUUAAAUUAGUAGAAAGAUGUUGGGUUGAACAUACGCCGAAAAUCAGGGAUCACAGCUGGGUAAGAUUAGCUUUGAUAGGUAUCACAAAAAAGGUAAACAGAAUUAGGUAUAAUGUUAAAGUAAGAACAUUAGAGGACAAAAAGGUAGAUGACAUUGGUGGGAAAAUAUUUGAAUAUGAAACGGUUGAUGAUCUAUACGAAAUCUUUGAAAGGGAGUUACGGUUGA